UUAGAGGAAGGAGAAGUCGUAACAAGGUUUCCGUAGGUGAACCUGCGGAAGGAUCAUUGUCGAAACCUCAAACAGCACGACUUGUGAAUUUGUAUGUGAUAUUGGGUGGCGUAGGGUUCUUAUUGCACUCGCCCACCCCAUGCCUAUAUGGGACACAUGAGGUCCUUCUUGUGUGUGCUCAUUUAGGUAAGAACAAAACCCCGGCGCUAGUUGCGCCAAGGAACUCUAACAAUACAACAYAUCCCUAUGUGGCUCGGCAACGAUGCUCCUACAGGGUUUGUUGCAACAUAUUUAUCCAAAAUGACUCUCGGCAACGGAUAUCUCGGCUCUCGCAUCGAUGAAGAACGUAGCGAAAUGCGAUACUUGGUGUGAAUUGCAGAAUCCCGUGAACCAUCGAGUCUUUGAACGCAAGUUGCGCCUGAAGCCAUUAGGUUGAGGGCACGUCUGCCUGGGUGUCAAACAUCGUUGCCCAAAACACAUUGUGCUUGCACUAGAGUUGUGYGCAGGGUGGAUGUUGGCCUCCCGUGAGCAUUGCUGGCGGUUGGCCUAAAUGCGAGCUUGUGGUGGCGAGCACCAUGACGUAUGGUGGUUGAGUCAUGCUCGAAGCCUGUCUUGYGUGCCUCGUCUCAKACAAUGGCUCUUGUGACCCUUGUGCAUCAUGUUGAUGCUUUCAACGUGACCCCAGGUCAGGCGGGGCUACCCGCUGAAUUU
rnacentral:rRNA from 1 species